rnacentral:rRNA from 1 species
UACGGAGGGGGCUAGCGUUGUUCGGAAUUACUGGGCGUAAAGCGCACGUAGGCGGCUUUGUAAGUCAGAGGUGAAAUCCUGGAGCUCAACUCCAGAACUGCCUUUGAUACUGAAAGUCUUGAGUACGGGAGAGGUGAGUGGAACUGCGAGUGUAGAGGUGAAAUUCGUAGAUAUUCGCAAGAACACCAGUGGCGAAGGCGGCUCACUGGCCCGUAACUGACGCUGAGGCACGAAAGCGUGGGGAGCAAACAGG